UACGAACCGUGCGACCGUUGUUCGGAAUCACUGGGCUUAAAGGGCGCGUAGGCGGUCAGAGGGGUCCCGGGUGAAAGCCCCCAGCUUAACUGGGGAAGUGCCCGGGAUACCGCCUGACUCGAGGGGGGUAGGGGCGUGUGGAACUUCCGGUGGAGCGGUGAAAUGCGUAGAUAUCGGAAGGAACGCCGGUGGCGAAAGCGGCACGCUGGACCCCUUCUGACGCUGAGGCGCGAAAGCCAGGGGAGCAAACGGG
rnacentral:rRNA from 1 species